UUCAUUGUGUCCCUGUAGCGCAAUGGAUAGCGCGUUGGACUUCAAAUCCAAAGUCCGAAUCCCACAUGAAA